rnacentral:rRNA from 1 species
UACGUAGGGUGCAAGCGUUAAUCGGAAUUACUGGGCGUAAAGCGUGCGCAGGCGGUUAUGUAAGACAGAUGUGAAAUCCCCGGGCUCAACCUGGGAACUGCAUUUGUGACUGCAUAGCUAGAGUACGGUAGAGGGGGAUGGAAUUCCGCGUGUAGCAGUGAAAUGCGUAGAUAUGCGGAGGAACACCGAUGGCGAAGGCAAUCCCCUGGGCCAAUACUGACGCUCAUGCACGAAAGCGUGGGGAGCAAACAGG